CACGUAGGGGGCAAGCGUUGUUCGGAAUUACUGGGCGUAAAGGGCGCGUAGGCGGCCUUCUAAGUCGGACGUGAAAUCCCUCGGCUUAACCGGGGAACUGCGUCUGAUACUGGAUGGCUUGAGUGUGGGAGAGGAAUGCGGAAUUCCAGGUGUAGCGGUGAAAUGCGUAGAUAUCUGGAGGAACACCGGUGGCGAAGGCGGCAUUCUGGACCAUUACUGACGCUGAGGAGCGAAAGCCAGGGGAGCAAACGGG
rnacentral:rRNA from 1 species